rnacentral:rRNA from 1 species
GUGGGGAAUAUUGGACAAUGGGCGAAAGCCUGAUCCAGCCAUGCCGCGUGUGUGAAGAAGGUCUUCGGAUUGUAAAGCACUUUAAGUUGGGAGGAAGGGCAGUAAGUUAAUACCUUGCUGUUUUGACGUUACCGCCAGAAUAAGCACCGGCUAACUUCGUGCCAGCAGCCGCGGUAAUACGAAGGGUGCAAGCGUUAAUCGGAAUUACUGGGCGUAAAGCGCGCGUAGGUGGUUUUGUAAGUUGGAGGUGAAAUCCCCGGGCUAAACCUGGGAACUGCCUCCAAAACUGCAUGACUAGAGUACGGUAGAGGGUAGUGGAAUUUCCUGUGUAGCGGUGAAAUGCGUAGAUAUAGGAAGGAACACCAGUGGCGAAGGCGACUACCUGGACUGAUACUGACACUGAGGUGCGAAAGCGUGGGGAGCAAACAGGAUUAGAUACCCCUGUAGUCC